rnacentral:lncRNA from 1 species
GGGUCGCCGGCGACGAGCUUUGGUUCGCCGGUGAUGUUCUCGGAGGUGUGGAGUAAGCAAGGGAAGCGGAACCUGCCGCCACCGGUGGUGAUAGAUGAGGCUACCGAAAUGGAGCUUAAGGUGGAAGGGGGAGAAUUCGGGUCGCCGUUGGUGGAUCCUCCGGGGUUCUCUUCGUCGCCGGAGAGAGGGAAGGGAAACGACGAAGAAGACGUCGUUGGAGUGUUUCGCCGGCGGAAGAAGAGUGGUUCGGUUGGGGAGCCUAUGUUUAUGGAAGCUUUUGUCUUUGACUAGAUGGCAUAUAAGGCUUUAGGGGUUUAAAUGUAUUUUCGUUACGUUUGGGGUUUUCUUAUGAUAUAUCACAUAUCUAAAUCCAAAUAAUAGUAAAACUAGUAAUGUAUGAGUACAUAAGUUCUAAAUCACAAAUACUUCCCGAAUUUGAAUGUUUCGGACGGAGGAUGGGGUGAGUUCGUGUUCUUAUAUCUUGACAAUAGAGACGAGAUCCAGAUGUUUCG